rnacentral:misc_RNA from 1 species
GAUGAGAACGUAGCGAAAUGCGAUACUUGGUGUGAAUUGCAGAAUCCCGUGAACCAUCGAGUCUUUGAACGCAAGUUGCGCCCGAGGCCUCCUGGUCGAGGGCACGUCUGCCUGGGUGUCACGCAUCGUCGCCCCCUCUCCCCUCGGCUCGCGAGGGCGGGGGCGGAUACUGGUCUCCCGCGCGCUCCCACUCGCGGUUGGCCCAAAAUCGAGUCCUCGGCGACGGUCGCCACGACGAGCGGUGGUUGAGAGACCCUCGGACACGGUCGUGCGCGCGCCUGUCGCCCCCGGGAUCUCCUGGACCCUCGGGCAUCGAAAUUCUAGGAUGCUCUCGUUGCGACCCCAGGUCAGGCGGGACUACCCGCUGAGUUUAAGCAUAUCAAUAAGCGGAGGA